CGUGAUUUCACCAAGGUGCUGAAAAAUAACUUCAGAUCAAAGAAAUACUUUGCCAAACAUCCUCGCUUGGGUUAUUUACCACUACAAACAGUCCUAGAAGACAAGGAAAUAUUGGUGAUGCAAUGAAGAGUUUGAUGAUAAAAUAUAAUUACUGUUACGGUUUCCUCUUGGACGAAAUAUUCUCAUCAAAUUGACUGGUGAAGGAAAUGGGACACUGACUGUGAGUACUUUGAGUGUUUAAGUGACUCCUAAAAUGAAAAUUAUGACCUUGAUUUCUCUUGCAUGCAGAUAUGAAGAGACUAUUUUAAAAAUCCUCUCGGUUCGUGGUUCAGGCAUAAAGGUGUCACAUGUAUAUUUAUGUAUAUACAUGUACAUGUGUAAUCUGAAAAGAAAAUGACGAUAAAUCACUUGUUACAAGGUGAGAAUGAGUUAUCCAGAUAGUAAGAACUGCCAAAGUUGGUGUCUGAGAUAACACAUUGUGGAGCUGGGGGAAAGCAGGCAGCAUCAGAGGCUCAAGAAAGUUGAUGUUUUGGGUCAGGACCCUUCCUCCAAAAUGGAGGGUGGACGGGAGCUCAGAAACAAAUAGUGUGGAGAGGGAGGAGGUGCUGGGGAAGGUAGGUGGGAUGGUGAUAAAUGAGUACUAUCCAGAUUGGAACAGAUUUACCCCAGAAGGUAUUGAAUACAAGUUCCAAAUCACUCUCAAAAUCCUAGUGACUGUUAACAUUCAUGUUUUUUUUGUCUGUGUGUUUCAGUAGUUGCAUGUCAGUUUGAAUGGUUCAUUGAGAGUGAGGAACCUAUGGACUCACACACACCAACAUGGAAUUUAAUUCAAAGAGUGACUCCUCUUCAAAGUACUUAGUCGCUUUUAAAAUCUUGACCAUUUCUGCUGUCUAGUUGAACAAGUGUAGCUGAAUACUGCUUCAAUAGGAAUUAGUGUUUAAUAGGAACAUAUUUGUGAAACUUACAGUUCCUCAAGCUUUAGCAUAAACUGGUGGAGACUUUCGGCGCUUGCAAAAAGGCUCACCUCUCUUAAUACUGAAGGAAAAUUGGAGUUUAAAAGUAAGUUCAUCCGCUGUCGGGGAAUGAAAUGUUAAUGUUGACUUGAAUAUAAUUUUUAAAAAAGUAAUAUAUUUGUGUAGCACUAAACUCAAAUUAAAAUUUGGAUAUGCCAGUUGACUCCUGUUUGACACUGUAUGGAAUGGCGGUGACAUCAGAUUCAGUGAUGAUUGAGAAUCUAAAGAAUAUGAGGAUAAGAUUUAACAUCCAAAUAUCAUUGAACUCUUCAAGGAAUGUAUUACUGGAAAAGGGGGAAAGCAUGUAUGUCUAUUAGAAUUGAAUACACUCUGAAGGCGGUGGCACAGAUGAAACAGACCUGUGUGCUAAAACUUAUCACAAAUUUCACAUUGAAUGGAGCAGUUUAAACAGGCUGGAGGAAGCAGACAUGCCAGCGCAAACUUUUGAAUUUGUGCAUUCUGUUCAUAAACAUCAGCAAAAUUGUGGGAACCUGUUUAUUCUUUCUCUUUUAUUGCACAGAACCAUACGAUUACACUAAUUUUGAUUAGGAAUUUAAAGAUUAUGAGCCCCGUCCGUUUGACUCGCAGUUUGGUACCAUAGGUUGGUACGAUCUUCGUUCAAGAAGGAAGAGGGAUGUUCCAGACACAGAAAAUCGUCAAACCAUUUACUACAAAGUCUGUUUCUGCUUAGUAUUAAUUAAUGCAGUUAACAUUUUCAGAUCGACAUGAUUGCAGAAUGGAGUCAAUAAAACAAAUUCCAUCUGAUAUUCAACAUAAAUUUUAAGUUUGGAAUAACAAGCUCACAAGAAAGAUGACCUGGUUUUAGAUAUCACUUGGGACCACAGACUAACAGACAAAGGAACAAAGCAAAACGACUCUGCGAUUUGAUGUAGAAACUCCUGACUCCGAAGCCUGCAGCCGCCCUCCAAUUCUCAAGUCAGAAGUGUGUCAAUGAUGGUGCAGAUCCAACAACACUGGAAACGAUCUUGAGUCUAGACCAAAGCAGCCCCUUGAUUGGCACCGUAUCCAUUCUCUCCACAACUAACUCCAAGACACAAUAAUGUGUCCAUAUACAAGAUGCACUGCCACAUUUUUUUCCAACUAUUCUUACACCCGCCUUUGCAGACUUAGAAAACUCAUCUUCAAGGUCAAGGACAUCAGACAUGGUAGCACUAAUCCCAGUAAAAAUCACCUCCAAGCUACUCUCAAACUGAUUUGGAAAUGAAUGAUUGUUCCUGAGUCAAUAUUAGUAAUCUCUUUUGGAACAGCAUUGUGGGCCUGUCUACAGCAACAUGAAGCUGUUCAAGAAGUCAAUUUGUGCUGGACAAUCAGCAACAGCUAUGUCUCAUUAAAGAAUAAAUAAAUCGGAAAGAAAUCCAUCUGAGAGUCACAAGCAAA